rnacentral:rRNA from 1 species
GAGUUUGAUCGUGGCUCAGGAUGAACGCUAGCGGCAGGCUUAACACAUGCAAGUCGAGGGGUAUAGGUUUUCGGACCUAGAGACCGGCGCACGGGUGCGUAACGCGUAUGCAAUCUACCUUUUACAGAGGGAUAGCCCAGAGAAAUUUGGAUUAAUACCUCAUAGUAUUAUUGAGUGGCAUCAUUUAAUAAUUAAAGUUUCAACGGUAAAGAUGAGCAUGCGUCCCAUUAGCUAGAUGGUAAGGUAACGGCUUACCAUGGCGACGAUGGGUAGGGGUCCUGAGAGGGAGAUCCCCCACACUGGUACUGAGACACGGACCAGACUCCUACGGGAGGCAGCAGUGAGGAAUAUUGGUCAAUGGGCGCAAGCCUGAACCAGCCAUGCCGCGUGCAGGAUGACGGUCCUAUGGAUUGUAAACUGCUUUUGUACAGGAAGAAACAGUUCUACGUGUAGAACCUUGACGGUACUGUAAGAAUAAGGAUCGGCUAACUCCGUGCCAGCCGCCGCCGUAA